GAUGAACGCUGGCGGCGUGCUUAACACAUGCAAGUCGAACGGAAAGGCCCAAGCUUGCUUGGGUACUCGAGUGGCGAACGGGUGAGUAACACGUGGGUGAUCUGCCCUGCACUUCGGGAUAAGCCUGGGAAACUGGGUCUAAUACCGGAUAGGACCACUUCUUGGAUGUUGUGGUGGAAAGUUUUUUCGGUGUGGGAUGAGCUCGCGGCCUAUCAGCUUGUUGGUGGGGUAAUGGCCUACCAAGGCGUCGACGGGUAGCCGGCCUGAGAGGGUGUACGGCCACAUUGGGACUGAGAUACGGCCCAGACUCCUACGGGAGGAAGGAGGGGGGAAUAUUGCAAAAUGGGCGCAAGCCUGAUGCAGCGACGCCGGGUGGGGGAUGACGGCCUUCGGGUUUUAAACUCUUUUCGCUAGGGACGAAGCGUUUUGUGACGGUACCUGGAAAAGAAGCACCGGCUAACUACGU
rnacentral:rRNA from 1 species